UCUGCAUUCAGGCACUGUGUUUCCCACCAGGCCUGAGAGCCGCUGACAGCCACAGAAAACAGACACCGAGUUUGAGACAUGCACUUAUAUAGAAACCGUUAGAGAUAGUCUGUGUGUGUGUUUUGUUGAAAAGCUAACACACACACACACACACACACACACCAAAGAACGGGUGCUGAGAGCUUGAAACUGUUUACACCAUGUGGGUGUCAAGCAGAAUGUGAGCCAGCUGCAGAACUCAGACAAACCCAUCAGUGUUUCAGGACGACAGACUCCGGUCAGCUCCGACAGGGUGAUCCUAUCUGCAGGACUGGGAAGGAGCCAGCAUAGUGUUCCUGUUUUCAGUGGGAGCCACCAGUUGGAAAUGGAGGGAAAACGAUGCGUGCCGCUUCAUGAAUCAUCGGGCUCAAACUCAUAAGUAUGCAGGCGAGCAGAGAGGACGCUUGUUAUUUCAACACUGUUGGUGUUCGGUGGGUUUUUGCAUCCUGGAUUCAUUGGGACAAAGGAGCUAAAGAGGGCUGCUUACUAAGAUCACAUGCAUCUACAUCUACAAAAAAAAAAACACCGAAAGAUGUGAGUGCUGAGCUCACCAGUGAGAGAAACACAGGGGGUUAAAGCCCAAGUACCAAGUGGGAGUGGGGAGAAGUCCAGAUUCAAGUCACAGAGUCUGCUUUCUCCUUCCUUCAGUGAAGAUCCCAGAGGCCUCUAAGCCAACAGUAGGUGUGGUGGUUACUUAGCAACCCUCCACGCAAACUGCCAGAGGACAAAGCAAGGGAGAAGAGGUUGAGUCCAGAACAAUCCCUGGUUCCCCCUCCUUCUCUGCUGGGAGUACUUAGACUUUAACCUUCCGCACAGCUCUCACACCGACCAGCUCAACAAUAACCUCUCAGCGCUGAAUCCCCUCUCAAGGGAAAUGAAGAACAGGGAUGGACAACACGUCUGUAACCCAUUCAUGGUCUACUCCACCCCAACAAGCCAGAAAAUAAAUUACUGUAGCUAAACUGAAAUAAUCAUACAUUGAGAAUUAUUGUAUUAUAGUACGUAACUAUAUUAAUAAAUGCAUUUAAAAUCAAUAAAAUAGAAAAGGUACUACCACA
ensembl:lncRNA